GUAUAGGGGAGCCGGAGGGAAACCGAGUCUUAACCGGGCGUUAAGUUGCAGGGUAUAGACCCGAAACCCGGUGAUCUAGCCAUGGGCAGGUUGAAGGUUGGGUAACACUAACUGGAGGACCGAACCGACUAAUGUUGAAAAAUUAGCGGAUGACCUGUGGCUGGGGGUGAAAGGCCAAUCAAACCGGGAGAUAGCUGGUUCUCCCCGAAAGCUAUUUAGGUAGCGCCUCGUGAAUUCAUCUCCGGGGGUAGAGCACUGUUUCGGCUAGGGGGCCAUCCCGGCUUACCAACCCGAUGCAAACUGCGAAUACCGGAGAAUGUUAUCACGGGAGACACACGGCGGGUGCUAACGUCCGUCGUGAAGAGGGAAACAACCCAGACCGCCAGCUAAGGUCCCAAAGUCAUGGUUAAGUGGGAAACGAUGUGGGAAGGCCCAGACAGCCAGGAUGUUGGCUUAGAAGCAGCCAUCAUUUAAAGAAAGCGUAAUAGCUCACUGGUCGAGUCGGCCUGCGCGGAAGAUGUAACGGGGCUAAACCAUGCACCGAAGCUGCGGCAGCGACGCUGAUGCGUUGUUGGGUA
rnacentral:rRNA from 1 species